CUCUGUGACUCCUACGGGAGGCAGCAGUGGGGAAUAUUGCACAAUGGGGGAAACCCUGAUGCAGCCAUGCCGCGUGUGUGAAGAAGGCCUUCGGGUUGUAAAGCACUUUCAGUAGGGAGGAAGGUAGUGUAGUUAACACCUGCAUUAUUUGACGUUACCUACAGAAGAAGCACCGGCUAACUCCGUGCCAGCAGCCGCGGUAAUACGGAGGGUGCGAGCGUUAAUCGGAAUUACUGGGCGUAAAGCGCAUGCAGGCGGCUUGUUAAGUCAGAUGUGAAAGCCCGGGGCUUAACCUCGGAAUUGCAUUUGAAACUGGCAGGCUAGAGUCUUGUAGAGGGGGUAGAAUUUCAGGUGUAGCGGUGAAAAUGCGUAGAGAUCUGAAGGAAUACCAGUGGCGAAGGCGGCCCCCUGGACAAAGACUGACGCUCAGAUGCGAAAGCGUGGGGAGCAAACAGGAUUAGAUACCCUGGUAA
rnacentral:rRNA from 1 species